AUUUAAUUUUCUAUGCCUUGCCUAGAGAAGCAAAUCUGUUGCAGAUUUUAGUCCAUGGUGGAUCUUUCUCAGGAAGAUCAGCUGCUAGGUUUUAGCUUUUCCUAGACUAGCUCUUGACAGAUGCAUACAUAGUGUUUGAGCAGGGUCUCCCACUCUAUCCAUAGGCAGCUUUCCUUCUGUGGACUGUUUCCUGUGUAGACAGGAAGUGUUUGAUUCUCAUGUACUGCCAUUUCUUCAUUUGUUUUUGUAGCUUCUGCUUUGGCACCAUCUUCAAAAUCCAUCAGCAACGCUGAGGUCAUUUCUGUUGUAUUUUUAUAUAAGUGAUUUACAGUUUGGGGCCUUAAUAUGUGAAUCUUGAAUCAUUUUGAGUUGGGGUUUGUGCAUGGUAUAACAUGAGGAUGCAUCUUCAUCAGUAAUUCCAUUUUAUCAAGCCCAUCUGUUACAGACCCAUCUCCCUGUGAUGGCUCUUCUUGGUUGUCCACUUGACUGUAUAUCUGAAAUGAACUAAAACUAAAAAAACUAGAGGUCACACCUUUGAGCAAUUUUUGUGCAACUUGAGAUGAGAAGAUCUACUUCAAAUCCGGAUUUUGAGGUUGGAAGACACACCUUGAAUCCAGAUAUUUAAUGCAGAUCUAAUCUGGGUCAUGCCUUCUGCUGGAAGCCUAUAUAAAGGACACAGGAUGAAAGAAACUUUUGCUCUUUGUCUUCUUGCUCUCAUCUUGCAAACAAGUCUAUUCUUCUCUGCCUUUAUAACCUACUCCUUUGGGAUUCCAUCAUAUACUCAAGACCAGCUGAGACACCCAGGCUCAUGGACUAAGUAGCUACCGGAUUCUUGGAACAUAUAUUCAUAAAUGUAAGUCCCUUUAGGCACAUGAGUGGCCAGGCCCUUCUACUAUCUAUUCAUGCCAAAUGGCAAGGAAAACUUUCCCUGACAUGGACUCCCUUUAUAAACCUUGUAAACCCUCAAGGCAGGAAAGUGGCCAGGCCCUGCCUUGGAACUCCAGCAACCCGAACCUGCCCCCAAGACAUCCCUCAAAGCACCAAGAGUCCUUUUCUAAAAGCUGUAACUGUCAUUUCCAGCCCUGAGGCAGUAGAGUGGCCAGGUCCCACC
rnacentral:lncRNA from 1 species